rnacentral:rRNA from 1 species
CAUUAAAAAGAUAAUUUUUAUAAUUUAAUUUGAUAUAAAAAAAUUAUUUAAUGAAAAUUUUAAAAAAAUUUUUUUGUUUUAGUAAUUUUUGAAUAAAUUAAUUUUAUUAUAGCUAAUAAGUAUUGUGAAAGAAAUUUUUAAUAUAAUUAAAGAAAUUUUUAAUUAAUGUACCUUGUGUAUCAGGGCUUAUUAAAUAAAAUUAAAAAUUUUUAAUUUCUCGAAUUAAAAAGAGUAAUUAAUUUAUCAAUUUUAUUGUAAAAUAAAUAUUUAACAUAAAUUAAUUGUAAUGAAACGUUAUUCGUUUUUUAAUAUAUCUAGUUUUAAUUUAAAUAAAUUUAAUUUAUUAAUUAAAAAUUUUUUAUAAUUUUAUAUAAAAAAUUUUUUAAUUAAAAAUAUUUUUUGGGAUAAGCUAAAAAAUAAAAAUAUUGUUUAAAAUUAUUUUUAUUAUUUGUAGAGUUAAAAAUAUUUAUCAUUAAUAAUUUAUUAUAAUUAAUAAUAAAAAUUUAAAAAUUUUAUAUUAAAGAAAUUUUUUAAAUUAAAUUUUUAUAAAAUUUGAAAAUAAAAUUUAUAAUGAUAAGAUUAGUAUAAUUAUUUAAAUAAUAUUUUUUAUAAAAUAGAUUAAUUAAAGGAAUUCGGCAAAUAUAAUUUUCGUCUGUUUAUUAAAAACAUUUUUUUUUGAUUUUAAUUUAAAGUAUAUCCUGCCCAAUGAAAUUUAAAUGGCUGCAGUAUUAUGACUGUACAAAGGUAGCAUAAUCAAUAGUUUCUUAAUUAGAAGCUGGAAUGAAUGGAUUAACGAAAAAUUUUCUGUCUCUUAUUAAAUAAUAGAAUUUUAUUUUUAAGUAAAAAAGCUUAAAUAUAAUUAAAAGACGAGAAGACCCUAUAGAGUUUUAUAUUUAGUAAAUUUUUUAAAAAAAAUUUAUUAAAUAAUUUGUUGGGGUGAUUAAAAAAAUUAAUUAACUUUUUUUAUUUUUAAACAUUAAUUUAUGAAAAAAUGAUCCAUUAUUAUGAUUGAAAGAUCAAAUUACCUUAGGGAUAACAGCGUAAUAUUUUUUUAAAGUACUAAUUAAAAAAAAUGAUUGCGACCUCGAUGUUGGAUUAAAAUUUGUUUUAGGUGUAGAAGCUUAAUAACUGAGUCUGUUCGACUUUUAAAAUUUUACAUGAUCUGAGUUUAAACCGGUGUAAGCCAGGUUGGUUUCUAUCUUUAAUAAAUAAAAAUAUUUCAGUACGAAAGGACCUAAUAUUA